rnacentral:tRNA from 1 species
CAGGGAGACAACAAAAUGUUUAAUUUUAUAAUUUUGUCACCUUAGGUCGAUCGGUAUCUCACAUUCUUAAUUAAUUAAGAAUUUCAUUUUCUAAGUUUUUCUAGGUCACACCCAUUAUUUUUCCUGGGCCAUUAGCUCAGGUGGUAAGAGCGCACCCCUGAUAAGGGUGAGGUCCCUGGUUCAAGUCCAGGAUGGCCCAUAUCUCUAUGUUGGGGGUAUAGCUCAGUUGGUAGAGCGCCUGCUUUGCAAGCAGGAUGUCAGCGGUUCGAGUCCGCUUACCUCCACUGAUUACCACCUCUUCCAUAAUUUGGAUAAAGGAAAUUUUUUGAGUUGUGAUCACAUUCUGAACGAAUCUAGCUUCCUAAUGAAGUCAUUAAGAUGCUGGACUCAUUGAAUUAAUUUCAUUGUUUUCAGAGAACCUUGACAACUGCAUAGAUUAUUUUUAAAGACAAUAAGCAUCUUUAAUGAUGCAGAUUUAUUAUUUGUGCGAAUGCAUUAAUAACAAUUCUAUUAAGCUGAUGCUUCAAUUUUGAAGUUAUU